GGAAUAGCUCAGUUGGUAGAGCACGACCUUGCCAAGGUCGGGGUCGCGAGUUCGAGUCUCCGCUCCA
rnacentral:tRNA from 1 species